GGCUGGUCUCUAAUGUCUGACCUCAGGUUAGCCACCCGCUUUGGCCUCCCAAAGUGCUGGGAUUACAGUCAUGAGCUACUCUGCUCAGCCCUGACCAUUAAGUCUUUCGUAAGCAUUAUCCUAUAUGUAUACUGACAUGUGUGGAAAAUGAUGUAUGGCGAAGGCUAUUUGUUGCAUUAUUGUUUAUAACGGCAAAAUUCUUGAAGUAACUUAAAUGUUUUUCACUAGGGGAAUGACUUAAAAAAAAAUGGGACAGGUGUAGGGUGCCCGUGCUCUGUGGUUAGUACAUGUGUUCGGUCACGGGUGCGUCGCUCUGUGGUCCAGGCGUGCGGGUGUUGGCUGCGAUCUCUGCAGUGGGAUGAGCCAGGCUCCCGGUGGAAGCAAGGGAACCCGGCUGCAGCAGCCAUGGCCAGUAUAAUGGUAGCAGUUGGACUGACCAUUGCAGCUGCAGGAUUUGCAGGCCGUUAUGUUUUGCAAGCCAUGAAGCAUAUGGAGCCUCAGGUAAAGCAACUUUUUCAAAGUCUACCAAAAUCUGCCUUUAGUGGUGGCUGUUACAGAGGUGGGUUUGAACCCAGAAUGACAAAAUGGGAAGCAGCAUUAAUACUAGGUGUAAGCCCUACUGCCAAUAAAGGGAAAAUAAGAGAUGCUCAUCGACGAAUUAUGCUUUUAAAUCAUCCUGACAAAGGAGGAGCUCCUUAUAUAGCAACCAAAAUCAAUGAAGCUAAAGAUCUACUAGAAGGUCAAGCUAAAAAAUGAAGUAAAUGUAUCCUGAAUUUUAAGUUCGUAUUAGUUUAUGUAUAUGAGUAUUAACUUUUUAUAAUAAAAUGCCUCAGAGCUACAGUUUAGAAAAAUGAUUUAGCACAAGCUAAA